UGUUUAAAAAAUUUAUUAAUAUAUAAUUGGUUAUUAUAGAAAUCAUUUUUUAUGUUUUUGUAGUUGUUAAUAAUUAAAUUAUUUUGGUAAUAGUUUAUUUGUACUGUGAAGGUUCAUUGAAAUAGUAUUUACAUUAAUAUUUAAGUUUAUUUAAUUUAUUGUACCUUGUGUAUCAGGAUUAAUUAAUUACAUAUUAUAUACACUUAAUUUUCUCGAUAUUAUUAGAGUUAAUUUAUUAUUUUAUUUACUGUUUUAUAAGUAUAAAUAAUAAUAAAUUGGUAGUGAAAUGUUAUUCGUUAAUAAUGAUAUCUAGUUUUUAGGGAAAUGAAUUUAAUUUACAUUUUUUCUUUAAUUUUAUUAUUAUUAUUAUAAUUUAAGUUAAAAUGAUUGUUAAGGGGGAUAAGCUCCUUAUCAGAAUUCUAUAAUUGAUUUAUUACUUAUAAUUGUGUGGAUUUAAUAAUAAUUAUUAUUAUAAGUUUAUAAAAAUUUUAUUAUCUUUUUUGUUAAAUUUGUUUUGUAUUUAGGGUUUUACUAAAAUUUUUUAACUAAUUUUGACUUAAUUUUAAUUAUGAUUAAAUUAGUAUAUAAUAUAUUUAUAUUAAUUGAUGUAGGUGUAAUAAAUUAUAGGAAUUAGGCAAAACAAUUAUUCGCCUGUUUAACAAAAACAUCUUUUCUUGAUUAAAUAUGAAGUAUAACCUGCUCAAUGAAAAUUUAAAUAGCCGCGGUAUGAUGACCGUGCAAAGGUAGCAUAAUCAUUAGUCUUUUAAUUGUAGGCUGGAAUGAAUGGUUGGACGAAAUAAUUUCUGUCUUAAUUUUAUUAAUUUGAAGUUAAUUUUUGUGUUAAAAAGCUCAAAUUAUUUUUUGGGACGAGAAGACCCUAUAGAGUUUUAUAUUUUUUAAAAAUUUAUUUUUUUGUUUUAGUAAGUUACUAAAUUUAUUUUGUUGGGGUGAUGUAAAGAUAAGAAUAACUCUUUAUAUUUUUAUUUAUAAAUUAUUAUAUUUGUGAUCCAUUAUUAAUGAUUAAAAGAUUAAAUUACCUUAGGGAUAACAGCGUAAUCUUUUUAGAGAGUUCUUAUUGACAAUAAGGAUUGCGACCUCGAUGUUGGAUUAAGAUAAAAUUUGGGUGUAAAAGCUUAAAAAUUAGGUCUGUUCGACCUUUAAAUUCUUACAUGAUCUGAGUUCAAACCGGCGUAAGCCAGGUUGGUUUCUAUCUAAUAAUGAUUUUAUUACUUUAGUACGAAAGGACCAAGUAUAUAAAAAUAAUUUUUUACAUUGAUAAAUAUUAAA
rnacentral:rRNA from 1 species